GUCUGUGUGGAUGGUGUUCAGCACCAGGAACACAUGUUUACCUGUGUGUGUGUGUAUGGUGUUCAGCACCAGGUGUGUUAACCU
rnacentral:pre_miRNA from 1 species